rnacentral:rRNA from 1 species
UUGAACGCUGGCGGCAGGCCUAACACAUGCAAGUCGAACGGUAACAGGAAGAAGCUUGCUUCUUUGCUGACGAGUGGCGGACGGGUGAGUAAUGUCUGGGAAACUGCCUGAUGGAGGGGGAUAACUACUGGAAACGGUAGCUAAUACCGCAUAACGUCGCAAGACCAAAGAGGGGGACCUUCGGGCCUCUUGCCAUCGGAUGUGCCCAGAUGGGAUUAGCUUGUUGGUGGGGUAACGGCUCACCAAGGCGACGAUCCCUAGCUGGUCUGAGAGGAUGACCAGCCACACUGGAACUGAGACACGGUCCAGACUCCUACGGGAGGCAGCAGUGGGGAAUAUUGCACAAUGGGCGCAAGCCUGAUGCAGCCAUGCCGCGUGUAUGAAGAAGGCCUUCGGGUUGUAAAGUACUUUCAGCGGGGAGGAAGGGAGUAAAGUUAAUACCUUUGCUCAUUGACGUUACCCGCAGAAGAAGCACCGGCUAACUCCGUGCCAGCAGCCGCGGUAAUACGGAGGGUGCAAGCGUUAAUCGGAAUUACUGGGCGUAAAGCGCACGCAGGCGGUUUGUUAAGUCAGAUGUGAAAUCCCCGGGCUCAACCUGGGAACUGCAUCUGAUACUGGCAAGCUUGAGUCUCGUAGAGGGGGGUAGAAUUCCAGGUGUAGCGGUGAAAUGCGUAGAGAUCUGGAGGAAUACCGGUGGCGAAGGCGGCCCCCUGGACGAAGACUGACGCUCAGGUGCGAAAGCGUGGGGAGCAAACAGGAUUAGAUACCCUGGUAGUCCACGCCGUAAACGAUGUCGACUUGGAGGUUGUGCCCUUGAGGCGUGGCUUCCGGAGCUAACGCGUUAAGUCGACCGCCUGGGGAGUACGGCCGCAAGGUUAAAACUCAAAUGAAUUGACGGGGGCCCGCACAAGCGGUGGAGCAUGUGGUUUAAUUCGAUGCAACGCGAAGAACCUUACCUGGUCUUGACAUCCACAGAACUUUCCAGAGAUGGAUUGGUGCCUUCGGGAACUGUGAGACAGGUGCUGCAUGGCUGUCGUCAGCUCGUGUUGUGAAAUGUUGGGUUAAGUCCCGCAACGAGCGCAACCCUUAUCCUUUGUUGCCAGCGGUCCGGCCGGGAACUCAAAGGAGACUGCCAGUGAUAAACUGGAGGAAGGUGGGGAUGACGUCAAGUCAUCAUGGCCCUUACGACCAGGGCUACACACGUGCUACAAUGGCGCAUACAAAGAGAAGCGACCUCGCGAGAGCAAGCGGACCUCAUAAAGUGCGUCGUAGUCCGGAUUGGAGUCUGCAACUCGACUCCAUGAAGUCGGAAUCGCUAGUAAUCGUAGAUCAGAAUGCUACGGUGAAUACGUUCCCGGGCCUUGUACACACCGCCCGUCACACCAUGGGAGUGGGUUGCAAAAGAAGUAGGUAGCUUAACCUUCGGGAGGGCGCUUACCACUUUGUGAUUCAUGACUGGGGUG